CAAGUCGAGGGGUAUAUGGUGCUUGCAUCAUAGAGACCGGCGCACGGGUGCGUAACGCGUAUGCAAUCUACCUUUCACAGGAGAAUAGCCCAGAGAAAUUUGGAUUAAUGCUCCAUGGUAUUGAGAUAUCACCUGAUAUUUUAAUUAAAACUACGGUGAUGAAAGAUGAGCAUGCGUCUUAUUAGCUAGUUGGUACGGUAACGGCGUACCAAGGCGACGAUAAGUAGGGGUCCUGAGAGGGAGAUCCCCCACACUGGUACUGAGACACGGACCAGACUCCUACGGGAGGCAGCAGUGAGGAAUAUUGGACAAUGGGCGCAAGCCUGAUCCAGCCAUGCCGCGUGCAGGAAGACUGCCCUAUGGGUUGUAAACUGCUUUUAUACAGGAAGAAUAAGGAGUACGUGUACUUUGAUGACGGUACUGUAUGAAUAAGCAUCGGCUAACUCCGUGCCAGCAGCCGCGGUAAUACGGAGGAUGCAAGCGUUAUCCGGAAUCAUUGGGCUUAAAGGGUCCGUAGGCGGAUUAAUAAGUCAGUGGUGAAAGUCUGCCGCUCAACGGUAGAAUUGCCCAUUGAUACUGUUAGUCUUGAAU
rnacentral:rRNA from 1 species